rnacentral:misc_RNA from 1 species
GAAAGAGGGAGAGAUUCAAAGAGCAGGUGAGGAAGUGAGUGAAAACAAAUUAGAGAAAGAAGAAGAAUUUCCCUUGACCAUACCUGCUUUGAUACCAAAUGUUAAGCCCCAGGAUUCUUGUGGCUCAACAAGGGUUUUUGGGCAGCAAGAAAGAGGGAAAAUGAGAGAAAGUGAGAGAGAAAGGAGAAAAGGAAGGAAGAAGAAGCAGAAAAAGAGAAGGAGAGA